rnacentral:siRNA from 1 species
GAUCAUGUCACGUGUCAAAUCAAA